rnacentral:rRNA from 1 species
GAUGAACGCUGGCGGCGUGCUUAACACAUGCAAGUCGAACGAUGAAGCCGGAGCUUGCUCUGGUGAAUUAGUGGCGAACGGGUGAGUAACACGUGAGUAACCUGCCCUUGACUCUGGGAUAACUGCGGGAAACUGUAGCUAAUACCGGAUACGACCCUCGGAGGCAUCUCCUGGGGGUGGAAAGAAUUUCGGUCAAGGAUGGACUCGCGGCCUACCAGCUAGUUGGUGAGGUAAAGGCUCACCAAGGCGACGACGGGUAGCCGGCCUGAGAGGGUGACCGGCCACACUGGGACUGAGACACGGCCCAGACUCCUACGGGAGGCAGCAGUGGGGAAUAUUGCACAAUGGGCGCAAGCCUGAUGCAACAACGCCGCGUGAGGGAUGACGGCCUUCGGGUUGUAAACCUCUUUUAGCAGGGAAGAAGCGAAAGUGACGGUACCUGCAGAAAAAGCACCGGCCAACUACGUGCCAGCAGCCGCGGUAA